rnacentral:rRNA from 1 species
UACGGAGGGUGCAAGCGUUCUCCGGAUUCACUGGGUUUAAAGGGUGCGUAGGUGGGCAGGUAAGUCAGUGGUGAAAUCUCCGGGCUUAACCCGGAAACUGCCAUUGAUACUAUCAGUCUUGAAUACCGUGGAGGUAAGCGGAAUAUGUCAUGUAGCGGUGAAAUGCUUAGAUAUGACAUAGAACACCAAUUGCGAAGGCAGCUUACUACCCGAAUAUUGACACUGAGGCACGAAAGCGUGGGGAUCAAACAGG